UUUCAAUCUGAUGAGUCCCAAAUAGGAAGAAACGCGCGUCCUGAAU
rfam:Schistosoma rodhaini strain Burundi genome assembly, scaffold: SROB_scaffold0002571